rnacentral:rRNA from 1 species
UACGGAAGGCAGCAGUGGGGAAUAUUGCACAAUGGGCGCAAGCCUGAUGCAGCCAUGCCGCGUGUAUGAAGAAGGCCUUCGGGUUGUAAAGUACUUUCAGUCGUGAGGAAGGUGUUAAGGUUAAUAACCUUAGCAAUUGACGUUAGCGACAGAAGAAGCACCGGCUAACUCCGUGCCAGCAGCCGCGGUAAUACGGAGGGUGCGAGCGUUAAUUGGAAUUACUGGGCGUAAAGGGCACGCAGGCGGUUAAUUAAGUUGGAUGUGAAAUCCCCGGGCUUAACCUGGGAAUGGCAUUCAAGACUGGUUAGCUAGAGUCUUGUAGAGGGGGUAGAAUUCCAUGUGUAGCGGUGAAAUGCGUAGAGAUGUGGAGGAAUACCGGUGGCGAAGGCGGCCCCUGGACAAAGGCUGACGCUCAUGUGCGAAAGCGUGGGGAGCAAACAGGGAUUAGAUACC